rnacentral:tRNA from 1 species
AGGCGUGGUUCAAUGGUAGAACACCAGCCUUCCAAGCUGGAUACGUGGGUUCGAUUCCCAUCGCCUG